GAUGAACGCUGGCGGCGUGCCUAAUACAUGCAAGUCGAGCGAACAGACGAGGAGCUUGCUCCUCUGAUGUUAGCGGCGGACGGGUGAGUAACACGUGGAUAACCUACCUAUAAGACUGGGAUAACUUCGGGAAACCGGAGCUAAUACCGGAUAACAUGUUGAACCGCAUGGUUCAACAGUGAAAGACGGUCUUGCUGUCACUUAUAGAUGGAUCCGCGCCGCAUUAGCUAGUUGGUAAGGUAACGGCUUACCAAGGCAACGAUGCGUAGCCGACCUGAGAGGGUGAUCGGCCACACUGGAACUGAGACACGGUCCAGACUCCUACGGGAGGCAGCAGUAGGGAAUCUUCCGCAAUGGGCAAAAGCCUGACGGAGCAACGCCGCGUGAGUGAAGAAGGUCUUCGGAUCGUAAAACUCUGUUAUUAGGGAAGAACAAAUGUGUAAGUAACUAUGCACGUCUUGACGGUACCUAAUCAGAAAGCCACGGCUAACUACGUG
rnacentral:rRNA from 1 species